UAAGACAGAGGUGCCGAGCGUUAGGCGGAAUCACUGGGCUUAAAGCGUGUGUAGGCGGAUACCUAAGUACCUUGUGAAAUCCCACGGCUCAACCGUGGAACUGCUUGGUAUACUGGGCGUCUUGAGCCACUUAGGGGCAAGCGGAACAAAUGGUGGAGCGGUGAAAUGCGUAGAUAUCAUUUGGAACGCCAAUGGUGAAAACAGCUUGCUGGGAGUGUGCUGACGCUGAGACACGAAAGCCAGGGGAGCGAACGGGAUUAGAUACCCCGGUAGUCCUGGCCGUAAACGAUGUCGACUAGAUCGUGGCGCCUCUGACGGUGUCACGGUCGAAGCAAAAGUGCUAAGUCGACCGCCUGGGAAGUACGGUCGCAAGGCUA
rnacentral:rRNA from 1 species